UACAGAGGGUGCGAGCGUUGUUCGGAUUCAUUGGGCGUAAAGGGUGCGUAGGCGGCGCGGUAAGUCGGGUGUGAAAUCUUGGAGCUUAACUCCGAAACUGCAUUCGAUACUGCCGUGCUUGAGGACUGGAGAGGAGACUGGAAUUUACGGUGUAGCGGUGAAAUGCGUAGAUAUCGUAAGGAAGACCAGUGGCGAAGGCGGGGUCUCUGGACAGUUCCUGACGCUGAGGCACGAAGGCCAGGGGAGCAAACGGG
rnacentral:rRNA from 1 species